UGCAGGUUAGAACAACUGGUAGUUUCGCUAGGUUAAAAUAUGAAACUUAGAGCCACAGGUUCGAGUCCUGUACCUGCAA
rnacentral:tRNA from 1 species